UCCAUCUUGUCCUCUAGAAGCUCAGAAUACUAGGCCUGUUACUCGGCUGUGAGACAGGCAGUGUCCAUCUACGUAACGAACAAACGAGACAUACCAGGUCCACUCAGCCCUGAUGGGCAGGAUAAACUGCACCUAAGGAUAAAAUUAGCCCACAGACUGUGUUGCUACCCUCUCCCCCCCCCCCACUGCACUGGUUGCAAAUUAAACACCCAAGCUCAAUAGCCAUUAAACAUGCCUCCCCUGGUAGCCAGGCAGCAGCAGCAGUUUUCUCCAGUAGUUCUCAUGAAUGGUGGCACUGCAGAUAGGCCGUUAGGAAGCACUAAAACAACCAUAUCAGUUUGACCUGUAGAUAUGAAAAACACAGGUGGGGAGCAAAUUCCAUGUGUGUGGGGGGAAAAAUAACAUAGGCCUCGACCCUUGGCUCUGGACAGUGGGAGGAAACAUACUGUAUCCCUGUCCAGAGGCUGUGGAAUGGAGGCCUCUGCUGCACUGUUCCCCUUCCAGUGGGGAUCCACAUAUGUGGAUGGGAGCUCUCCAUUCAUCUUCCACCAUCAGACUGACUGCAAAGAGCCCUUCUGGCUUGGCCCAAGAUCUGUGUGAAACUCUGGGAGUGGUGAGUUUUGCCAAUGGGUGGGUUUAAAACCCUUCUAAUUCUGCAGGGAGGCAGCUUCCGUGGAUAACCUAUACAUGAUCUGGUGGGGAAACUGAGAGAAACCUCUCUUGGUUUUCUAUUGCCACCUGUUUUUUUCCCACCCAGCUAUUUGGGCCAUAAUAUCGAUUGCUCUGCAUCAGCUCAUGCACCAUGCUAGUGGGAGAAUCUGCUUGGAGGCAGAGAGAAAUUGUAUAUUUGAUCCAAAUUUCCAGUGCAGUCCGGCUUCAUCUGUUAUCAUCCUUCAGAGCAGAGCAAAAAGCGCAUAUAUGGUGUGGUUCUAGGUUUCCCAGACCUGCUUUGUCACAGGAAUAUGUGAACACAGGAUCAGCCUUGCAAGGGCAGAGAGCUAAAUACAGUAUCCAAAAGAGAAGUUCAUGAGAUGAGCAGGGAUCUGCGGCCCAGUGCUACAUUUUUAGCCCACUCAAAGCCUACUGCAGUCACUGGGCUCAAGUUCACCAUUGCUCUGCACUUGGGGCAGUCAUUUACACGAGUGCAAAGUGAGUAUCCGAAUGGCGGCAUUGCACACCUGUGUUGGACUGGUGUGAAUGAUAGGCCCAGGGCAACACCGAAGGGGCCUUGGGAGUGCAAGGACUAUACAUCCAGGCCCCUGGACAUUCCCAGGUUGUUUCUCUGUGCCCCAUGUAGGAGUGUUCCUGUGCAUGUAGCCAGGGUAAGUCCAUGUUUGGGACUGGAGCAGUUUGCGUAGAGUUGAGCUGGGACGCUGCCUCCAUCUGAGCAGCUCGGCCUCUGGCCCUGCUGGCUCCUAGGAAGAAGGCUUUGUGGUGCUCUCCAGGUUUGUUGUCUUUCAGUGACUCUAGAUCAGGUGCGCUUGGUUUAUAAGUAGCAUUUUUCUAACUGGCAGCCCUGCAAGGUGCCCUUGGGAACCAGGAGUCAAGCUCGGUUGUACAUAAGGCUCGGGGAGUUAACGGUUCUGACGGUUUACAGGCCAGAACUGACUCUUGCUCCCUCUGCUGUAGCUUGGCUCUCCGGGGCCAAUGGGAAUAAAACCAACGACAUUUAUUUUAGUCGGUGAAGUUGGCAGAUGAGGCUCUGAUACACCCAGGGAGCACAGAGGAACGUGCCAAUUU